GCGCGGCUCGAACCCACGAGCUGCGAGAUCAUGACCUGAGCCAAAGUCGGGUGCUUAAUCAACUGAACCUCCUGGGCACCCCAACAACUUUUUAAUCAACCCACCACUCUUGUGUUUUUUUUUUUUUUUAAUCUCUUAGUUUGUAGUUUUAAUCCCUUGAAAACUUUUGCCACAUAAAGUGUUUGUUACGGCUGUGUGAAGAUACCUUUUGCCAUCGUGCAUUUGGUUCUAGCCUGACUCCACUUCCAUGGGAAUUGCUAAAUAUGUUCCAGCUGAGAAUUCCCUCGUCCCGCUUCUGUGGCAGAUGAAUCUCAGUCCUCUGCCUGCUCAUUCACAUGGCCCAGGGUGGGCUUAUGACGUCCCUCGGAAAUCACGUCCAAACCUGUUACUCUGUUGCCGACGUAUUCUGCUCUUCUGGAAAGGUUUCAUGAGUUUACUUCUCUUGUGCAGACCCUCCGUGUUCUCUCACUCCUUCAACCCAUUGAACUGUGAAUUCCUCAAACUGUGAAUAUUUGCUUUUCUGCUCCAGAAUCCCAUAAUUUGAAAAAAAAAAAAAAAAAAAAAGAACAAAAAAUCCGCACGUUUAACCCAGAGUUCUUUGAGCAAGUACCUCAAGUGAACCCGGCCGUUUGAAAGAGGCCAGGGGUUGCCACUUGGAACGAAAGCUCCAUGAGAGCGGGGUGGGGUUUUAUAUUCCCUCCCUGCUGGGUGCCCCGUGCCUGCCAUGCUCUAGGCUUCAGGUUGGUGCUUGAGGAAUGGGUACUGAAUGAGUUAAUGAAAUGAGGACUCACUUGGCAAGGUGCUGGGAAGGCCAUGCGGAGGCAGAGUUUGACGUCUGCCCAGAGCCGUGCUCCCCUUGUGGAAGCCACAAGCCACAUUUCCAGUGCUCAGUAUCCAUGUACGGCUCGUGGCUACCCCCGGGGAAAACCCAGGUACAGAACGUUUUCAUCACAGGGGUUUCUGGUGUGAAGGAAAAGCAUUCCCGUGGUUUCAUGGAACAAUGGAAAGUUUCAGCACCACUUGCCCCAUCUCCCUGGUCAACUUUGUCGUUGUAAAAGGUCUGGAGGAACUUGCGCCAAUUUGAAGGGCUGAGAAGUAGCUCAGCACGUUCUCCUCACGGUUACAAGUUGUCAUGCGUCGCUUAGGAGCAGCCUGCAGGACCAAGGAAAGAUCGUGGCGAACGUUUUUAAGGCGAAAAACUCCUUGUCAGAAGAAAGGGUUUGUACUGUGACUGUUGACCAGGGGUGGUAGCAUUAGUGAUACCUGGGGGGCUUUGGCAGAAUACACAUACCUGCUUCUUCCCCGACCUGGUGAAUCAAAAUCCCCCUGCAGGAGACGAAUUCUCGUGCCAUUUGGAAAAGCUCCCUCCAUGCUUCUGGCGGUGCUGUGACGAAUACUUUUCCUGCCCUAGCUCCCGUAAUUGUCAUAAGACUUGUCAGCGGACUUUUGAGAGGUGUCGUGGCUGCCUGCAUAAUGGCCCCCAAAGAUACCCCCGUCUCCGGGCAUUUGUCACCUCACAUGGCGAAAGGACUUUGCCAGUGUGAUGUAGAAUCUUGAGAUGGAGAGAUUAUCCUGGAUUACGAAGGUGAGCCCGGUAUAAUCACCUGAGUUUUAGAAGACGAAGGCAGGAGGGUCAGAGACAGUAGUCAGUAGUCGAAGGUGUGAUGACAGAACCAAGAGGUUGGAUUGUCAUGGAGGGGGCCUUAAGCCAGGGAAUGCGGGUAGCUUCUGGAAGCUGAAGAAAGCAAGGCAGUGUGUUUUCCUCCGAAGCCUCCAGAAGGCAUGCAGCUGCGUUCAUCCAGAUGGUGAUAAUGGUCAGAUUCUGGGUCUGUUUCAAAGGCAGAUCGAACAGGAACUGGUGAUGACCUGGGUGAGGGGGAGAGUGGAGGUUUCAGACCCCGGGAGCUAAAAGGAUGGGAGAGAUAACAGGAAGGGUGGGUGGGGAGACGUGGGGAGGAGAGGAGCUAGUCAUUAGCCGAGUUGUGGGUGUCUUAAGAUCGAGAUGCUUUUUUGGAUGUCUAAUCGAGAGGGCAGCUGGGUAGUGCGAUCUGAAGUUGGAAGUGAGGUCUGGGCUAAUAUAUGAUUUGGGGUGUUAUGAACAUAAAUGUAAUGCCACUGAGUGGACGAGACCCCCCGGGUGUGACUGUAGAAGAUAGAGCCUGGGAGCACUGCGGUUCCUGGACCCUAAAGCCAGAGGGAUGUGUCUGGCUCACUCCCAGACAGGUAUCUGGCCAGGUUGGGGACUGUGGCUUCCCCUGAUUGGCUCCACGAUGACUCCCUCGUGCUGGUGCAGUGGGCAUGCUGUGCUUCAGAGGAAAAAUGUUUUUCCUGACACGUGCAGUUAAUUCUGCCAGUGAAAGCAUGAAACAGACACAGUCGAAAUCUUGUCCGGAGCCUGCCUGAAAAUGAAUGUCUCUUCAGGACCCGUCCUUUAGCCAAUCUCUUCAAAGUAAAGCAGCGAUGUGAGUGAAUGAAGUUUCACCCGGUUUUAAUUAGUGGCAGAAUGAGUGAGUGGAGUGGAGGAAAGGCCUGCAUCGGUAGGGAGGAAGGAAAGACGGACGCCCCGAGCAGUCCUCAGAGCAGACAGAGCGCCAGAGUGGACAGCCUCCUGGAGGUGCUCUCUGAGCAGCGGUCCUCUGCUCUGCUCUGGCAUUUCCUCUCUCGCCCGAGACCGCUGUUGUCUUGUGAACUGAGGAUGUGACUUACGUGUUUUUGCAUGGUCUCCGCUCAGUUGUCCAGGGUUCAGUUACUUGCUCUUGCUGGAGUCAUUUCUGGUUUCUUGGCCCCUAGGCAGUGCUGGGACCUCUUGUCCCAUAUCUGUCACCCAGAUAAUUGCCGUUAGAGAAGGAAAUGGCCUUGGUCAGUGGGUAUGCAGCAGAGCAAAGUGUUUUAGGUGUUGGAACCUUGUCUACACCAAUUUAAGCCGCCUGUAGGAGGGACGUGUGCAGUGCCACAUACACCUGGGGCUGGCUACCUGGUGUCCUACUUUGUAUGCCAGGAACCAAUAGUAUUUUUUAUUACAGAAAUAGGAGAAGUAUAUGUAUUCUUUCUAGCAUAUUUGUGAAGAGUAGAGACAAAUAUUAAUUCCACUCAAAGACUAAGUGAUGUCAGGAAUUGGGAAUUUUUCUCCAAUUAUAAUUCUGUAGAAGGAACAGAAUUAAGAAAGAGGGGAUAGACCUGUCUAAACUCUUUUGUAUUACACCUCUUAAUCCUUUUCUUUAUGGUGUUGAGAAGCUAAAGAAAAAUACUUUACUGAGGCAGGCAAGAAGGAAACGCCGUUUUCUUUUUGGUCAGUCAAGUCCCAGGCUGUGUCUUGUUCAUUGUCUUUUGCGUUAUUUUCACUCUGUCAGUUGUUUCCCAAUUAUCUUAACCCAGAAGUCUAAAAAACCAACAACACAUAUUUUACUGUGUACAGUAGAAUGUGGACACUUACCUCUUCAUCACCAGGCUUAGGUUCAAUGCUCUAUGACUUUGGACAAAUUACUUUCUGCGCCUCGUGUAGAAUGGGGGUAAGAGUGGUCCCACCUCAUAGUGCUGUCCUGAGCAUCAGAGAAUAAUCCAUCCAGAGAAUUUAGCCACUUGCCAGGAGUAAGGAUGACUUCCCAGGAAACCUUAGGUAAACGAAUACAGGCACACAGAUGUGCGUGUGUGUGUGUGUGUGUGUGUACGUGUACAGACGCUGGAUUUCAUACUGUAGAGUUUUCACUCUCUAUAGGCUGGUUUUCUGAAGCCUGGGCUCCUCUCACGCAGUCUAACCAUAGGGGUUGCCCGAGUCCCACCCUUUUGACAGGGAGAAGCACUUACCGCAGAGCACCCGGAGAGGAAGAAUGACCGAGAAGGUCAAAAAUCCAGAUUCCCCGUGGCACCCUGUGAUGGGCUGGUUUAUCCUGUGGGUGGAAGAAUGGCUGUGCAUCAGCUUCUGGCGUGGAAGCCGAGGAGAAGCACAGUAGGUGUGGGGAGAGGCAUGCGGGGGUGCUUCCAAUAGAGGAGAGUAUAGGUCCCGUGGAGUGGCUCCACGUGACAGACGCUUGGUGUGGGACAGUCCUGGCACUGGUGUCCUUUCAAUUCCGUGGUCACAAUUGUAAUAACAAAAUUUUUUUUAAGUUUAUUUAUU